rnacentral:lncRNA from 1 species
UAGCCCCUCCCCCGACGACCCCCUCACCUGACUGUGCUACUCUCGGGACGGAGACCCGCCCCGGCUGCACCAGACCAGGUAGGCUCCUUGACCAGCCCCCAAGGCUGCUCGUAAUUACCGAGGGGGCCCCACUUCAGAUGCGCCCCGAUGAGGCCUCUGGUGCCGGGAGAGGGGGUACAGAGUUUCCCACUCAGAGCCGCAGGACGCCAGUGAGGUCUGGCGGUGCUGGGGAUCCCGCCUGCGGUCGCUGUCCCCGGAGGCCAGGACCCAACCGGCAGGUCCCGGCUGACCGAGGUCUGGCCUCAGGACCCCCGCUUCCCCUCGAGGACGAAAUCCAGACUCUCUGCCGCGAGGGCUUUCUCGGAACUGCAUGAUCCUGAAAGUCUUAUGAGAAGAUGUGGUGAGGACCAGAGCCAGCCACGCACCCCGCCAUGGCCGGCUGAGGGACGUUGGAGACGUGCCUCCCACCCGCUCCCUAUGCUGCACCAGCAGAGAGCUAUUCCUUGGAGUUGGCACAGAGGACUGUACCAGGGAGAUUAUCGAGAACACUUCCGAUGGCACAGGAGGCGGUGGGGCAGAAAUGAGAGUCCCGGGGACAGAAGACAAGAGAGAGGUGAGGACACUUGAUCCUGAGAGUGCCAAGAGAUGGAGCCCAGAGCCAGGAGGCAGGCGCUG